UCUACCAAGACAGGAAGUCUCUAUGGAAGUGAUGUCAGGAACAGACAGGAAGUUCCAUGUGGCACAAGGAACUAGCUGCUACCAAAGAGGUUAACCGUCUACAAGGAGACCUGUAGAGAUCGGAUGACGGCACAACUGAGGAUGGAGGAAGACCGGAGUCACGUGACUGAGAAGAUCCUAAACCUCACCCUGGAGAUCAUCUACCUGCUGACCGGAGAGAGAUUUCCUCUUCUGAAGUCAGGUGAUCAUAUGACCAUCA